GGGUGAGCUAACAGGACUCGUUCUUCCUCUCUUUGCAUUUAAAAAUAUCUGUCUUGCACUGUUUCUGCUUCUGUCAGUUAUUGUCAGCAUCCUAUCCAGAAGAUAUAAUGUAUAGUCUCUAUGCCCUGUGGAAUUUUGGAGAGUGCAUGCUUUCAUCAGAGUCUUCACAAAGUGCUCACAACCGGAGAGAACUCACGGUAAAACUGUAGCUGCGGAGUGCCUCUUACAGAAUGCUUUUAAGGAAAUUCAGUGCUGUGAAAAUGGUCUCUCUAAGAAUCUUUCUGAAGAAUUGCUCAAGCUUUUGUGGACAGUUCAUGUAACAUCUGAGGACCUCGUAUUUCCUGAGAACUAUAUGAAUGCUACCAGAGAAGCAACAUGGGACAGACAAAAGUGGGGAGCCAACUCAGGAGCAAAGGAGCCAUCCCUUGGGGAAACUCUGCUCAAAGUUAAAGGCCUUUCAAAACAUGCAUGUUCAAUGGAAACUUCUUUGAAGAUUCCAGUUUAACAACCUCCGUCUGUCACAUUGAGAAUAAUCCAGUUCAGGACUCUGGGGCUAAGGGAAAUGCCUGCACUUGCUCUUUUUUUUUUUUAUCAUGAGAGACUCGGGCCUGAGUCAUGGGAAUACAGGAGCCAUGGAAUACAAGGAGCUGGGAGCAGCAGCCUCUGCUUUCCUGACUAGGUACUUUGGAGAAAAUAAAAUGUGACCCGACCCAAGUGCA
rnacentral:lncRNA from 1 species